CUGCAAACCCUUGGUGUUCUUCUCAGUGAGCUUCAUGAGGUAGUCACCUGAAAUGGUUUCCACUUCACAGGUGGGCAUUUUCAGAGUUAAUUAGUGGACUUUCUUGCUUAUUAAUAAAAGAGCAAAGGGGGGGUACUAUGAAGAAACUAGAAUAUAAGACAUGU